AUCAUUUGCUUCAUUUCAUUUCACCAAUUCACCCGUGACUGUGAUUCCAUUCCAUGGCCGUGAGCUAGCCAGCUAGGUCUCCCGUCUCCGUCCAUACUCUUCAGUCUUCGACUCUCCACCAGAUCCCACUCUCGUCAAGCAUUGCCUCUCAAGCAUCGCCCGUAAGCAGUGGCACCAUCGGUCAAGCACCGAAUCUCUCUCGCCGAUCAAGCACCGGAUCUCCCUCACGUCAAGCAUUGGCACCCCAUCAUCUCUCCCGUCAAUCACCAGCACCAUCCAUCCUCCUGCUUCAAAUAACACUUAAAAAUGAGAGAGAGAGGGAGAGAGAGAGAGAGAGAGAGAGAGAGAGAAAGCCAAAAGAAGUGUUCUAGACCCAAAAUGAAGAAGAUGGAACUCUCUCGGCACCAAUCGAAUAAGGGCAAGGCAAACAUGAUGGCUUGCCGAUAUACUUAUGCUCGUAAGGAGGAAUAUAAAGCCAAAUCAGAUGACCUUACGGGCAGGUUUUACGACUGUAAGUGUGGUCGUAAAGACCAUUCAGAAAAAUUUAAGAGCAAAGCUUACGCCUGUAAGGGUGGUCACAAGGGCUAUACAGAGAAGUUUACAGUCCAACAUUUAUGGCCGUAAGAUGAACCGUAACAUAAGAUAGAACACCUUACGAAUGGGACUUACUGGUGUAAAUGAUCUCGUGAGGCAAAAGGAAGAAAAGAGGAGAAUCUCUAGGGCUUUGGAGGCAAUUUUAGGAGAAGAUUCAACCCCACCAUCUUGGAGAGGAAGAUCGUAGCCGGCAAGACUAGCUAGGCGACAUUCGCGGAAGGUUAUUGGACAUUCUACGUCAAUCAACCUCCGACACACUUGCGAAGGAGUUUUAAUAUUUUGUUUUAUUCCCUACAUGUCUUGUAAUUUAAAUGCUUACCCUCCAUUAAUGAAGGGCUAAUUUUGUAGAUGUUUGGGCAUAGCUAAACUUUAGGGUUUUAUCUUUUGACAUUG